ensembl:ncRNA M02D8.9 ncRNA
AGUGCAUAAAUAAGAGAGGGCAACACUUAUUCAGAAUGAAGAAAUAACCAAAAUCCGGCGCGAAAGUCCCAAUCUCCCUCGGGAGAAAUUGGAACUGACAACCUGAAUCGGCUAUUUUUGAGUACUCCCCGUCGUGGGU